rnacentral:lncRNA from 1 species
GAGAUUAGUAUUUCUUUCAGCAUAUUUUUCGAAUGCCAACAUCACCUCCUUAGUCAUCCAUUUUUUCCCAUUUUGAAUAAUCUCUUCGUCAGGAACAUCACACCUGUAUGCAUAGCCAACACAAAAUCGCAUUUUCUGUUCAAGUAGUAGAACAAGUAGAAACCAGAAUAUGAUGUCAUCAUGUUCAACGAUUGAUAAGCUUUUGGGUUUUGGCCCCAACACAUAUUAAGAAGCACAUAACAUUGAAAGGAAAGUAAAUUAACUAGAUAUAUGUGUGGCGAACACCUAAAUGUGUUUAUAAGGUUGGUAUAUGCACUGGUUGCUAAGAAAUUGUGCGCCUGUCAUGGCCCGUGAUCCCUCUCAUUAUCUAAAAGAAUGAAUAUUGGGGAAAAAACUAUGGUGCAUGUAGAGGAACCAAUAAACAUACAUGAAUAUUAUCAAUAUCUUCUGCUAUUUUGCUAAACAAGAAACAUAGAUGAUAGAUACUUCUUUCUGGGACGCAGAGUUUCUGCACCCGAGCACAAAUGAGCUCGGGUGAACAGUAAAAUCAAAAGAAAAUCGAAAAAAAUUCGAAAAAUUACAAUUUUUUUGGGAGAAACAUUGAGAAAAGUUUUAAGUGCUUGCAAAAAAUCUUUAUGAAAUCACAUUUCUAGAAGGCAUGGCAAAAAAAAAAAAUCGGUACUCUGAAAAUGCUACUUUCAAAAGCAUUUUGGAGCACUGAAUUUGUUUUUUUGCCACGCCUUACAGGAAUGUGAUUUCAUGACGAAUUUUUGCAAGCACUUAGAACUUUUGUCAAUGUUUCUCCCAAAAAAAAUUGGAAUUUUUUGAUAUUUUUUCGAUUUUACUGUUCACCGAGCUCAAAUGAGCUCGGGAGCAGAAAGGCAUUUUCGCUUCUUUAUGCAAACACAAAGAUGCUAUAAUAGUAACAUGUAGCAUACAAGGGUGAUUGGAUAAUUUAUAACCCUGCAUAUUAUGAGGGGCCAAGGGGAUAAUUACUAGCAACGAUCAACAGGCAACCUCGGCAGUCGACCAGUUGCCAGUCAGAUCCAGGAUCACGCAGUUUGAGCUUCCAAUAACUCACUUAAAACAGCUUUAGUGGCAUGAAUCUGCAGUUCCUGUGCUUCGGAAAUAAGUGAAAUUUCUUAAAGAGAACCUCAUUUUCCAUCUGCAUGACUAUACAAGAUACAGUCCCUCAUUAUAAACCAAGGAAUAUAUAAACUCAGAUCCAUACUCAUAAAUUUUCAAUGACACUGCUUAGAGAAAAAGUAAAUCAAUGCCAGAUACCUGCAAGAGAGAGGAUAGUAGAUGGUUUACCUUGGUUGUCGACGUAGCAAAUACUGCCGCGAUGGUUCAUUCCUCAAAGCUGGUUCUGUUGCCUGAAGGGACUGGGUUUCUGAAUCAGCUGGAGAAGACGGUCACCCUACGGGAGGCCUCUUACAAAAGUAGGAAGGUCGAGCAGUCAUAUCAGCAUGCUCAGCAGCUGACAUAUUGUC